CAGCAGCCGCGGUAAAACGAAGGGGGCUAGCGUUGCUCGGAAUGACUGGGCGUAAAGGGCGCGUAGGCGGCGAUCAAAGUCAGGCGUGAAAUUCCUGGGCUCAACCUGGGGGCUGCGCUUGAUACUUGGUUGCUUGAGUGGGGAAGAGGGUCGUGGAAUUCCCAGUGUAGAGGUGAAAUUCGUAGAUAUUGGGAAGAACACCGGUGGCGAAGGCGGCGACCUGGUCCUUGACUGACGCUGAGGCGCGAAAGCGUGGGGAGCAAACAGGAUUAGAUACCCCCGUAGUCCCUGUCUCUUAUAC
rnacentral:rRNA from 1 species